rnacentral:rRNA from 1 species
UACGAAAGGGGCUAGCGUUGUUCGGAAUUACUGGGCGUAAAGCGCACGUAGGCGGGUUGUUAAGUCAGGGGUGAAAUCCUGGAGCUCAACUCCAGAACUGCCUUUGAUACUGGCAACCUAGAGACUGGAAGAGGUUAGUGGAAUUCCCAGUGUAGAGGUGAAAUUCGUAGAUAUUGGGAAGAACACCAGUGGCGAAGGCGGCUAACUGGUCCAGUACUGACGCUGAGGUGCGAAAGCGUGGGGAGCAAACAGG